AGUGAACGCUGGCGGUAGGCCUAACACAUGCAAGUCGAACGGCAGCACAGUAAGAGCUUGCUCUUACGGGUGGCGAGUGGCGGGCGGGUGAGGAAUACAUCGGAAUCUACUUUUUCGUGGGGGAUAACGUAGGGAAACUUACGCUAAUACCGCAUACGACCUACGGGUGAAAGCAUGGGAUCUUCUGACCUUGCGCGAUUGAAUUAGCCGAUGUCGGAUUAGCUAGUUGGCGGGGUAAAGGCCCACCAAGGCGACGAUCCGUAGCUGGUCUGAGAGGAUGAUCAGCCACACUGGAACUGAGACACGGUCCAGACUCCUACGGGAGGCAGCAGUGGGGAAUAUUGGACAAUGGGCGCAAGCCUGAUCCAGCCAUACCGCGUGGGUGAAGAAGGCCUUCGGGUUGUAAAGCCCUUUUGUUGGGAAAGAAAAGCAGCAGGUUAAUACCCCGCUGUUCUGACGGUACCCAAAGAAUAAGCACCGGCUAACUUCGUG
rnacentral:rRNA from 1 species